GCGAGUGCCAACUGUCUACGUUCUUCGAUGUUGUGGUAUUGCUGGAGGAAUCCUGGCUGGGGUCCUGAGCGAUAAGACCGGCAUGUCAGCCUCCACCUGCAUAGUCAUGCUCAUCGUUGCGAUUCCUAUGAUGUUUGUCUACCAGCAUUUUGUGCAGUUUCUCUCGGGUUUGAACAUAUUCUUGCUGCUCGUUGUUGACUCCUUGUGAAUGGCCCGUAUGCUUUAAUCACUACUGCUGUUUCGGCUGAUCUUGGUACCCAUGAAUGUCUAAAGGAAAUGCAAAGGCCUUAGCUACUGUCACUGCUAUUAUUGAUGGCACUGGAUCUAUAGGUGCUGCUGUUGGACCACUGAUCGCUGGUCCAAUCUCAGAAGCAGGCUGGGACUAUGUCUUCUACAUGCUCAUGUUCUCCGAUCUCUUUGCCCUCAUAGUAAGUGG